GUGGCUCACAAACACACAGCUGUUUGGCAACCAGUCGACUGGUGAGGGCCAAUCAUAUUCAUGCAGGUGCACGGCGUGGCCAUAACCUGACACCUGCUACUCUUAAGGUGUCCACCAUGUGAAAACCAGGGCUGGAUUGGUACCUCACACAAGAAGUGGGACCACCGUAGGUCUAGAUUUAUCAUUAAGUGUUGGAUUUCCCCUGUCGAUAGCACCACUGUAACAACAGACGGAUGGUCUGGCCCUGUCGCGCUGUAAUUACACACGCUUGACAACGUAGAUUGACAACGAGCUGGUUACAAGCUUCGAUCACAGUGAGGUUUGCAGUGGACGCGGGCCAGAUGUGUGUUGCACCAAAAAACUGUAGGAGAAAACGCCAGCAGACCGCGCUGACCGGUCCCCAUGUGGUACGGCGUGAGCGUAACCCCUCACGGCACAACUGUAUAGCCAGCUUUAAUUUGACAUUAAAAACCAAAAGCACAUGCCUCUUCAUGUGUGAUCGUAUUUUUUGAUCCUACCUGUCAGCGGUUUAAAUUACACACUUUUGCUAGAACAUACAACCAGUUGAUAUCAACCAAUUUUUCAAUUUCUUACAAGUCAAAAGAAAAAAAAACUUUUAUUAAAUUGGAAAA